GCCUAGUUAGCUUAGUUGGUAGUGCGUCUGCCUUGUAAGCGCUAGGCCGCAGGUUCGAUUCCCGCCUGGGGCG
rnacentral:tRNA from 1 species